CACUGUUAAAGGUUCAGAUUUCAGAUUUUAGCUUUUUGCAUUUUGGGAUCCGCGAGACAAGUCAUCAGUUAUUUCUCCGGCUGAGAAGAGUUUAAUAAAGUUAACGAAUCUCGAUUGCUCCGCUCAUGAACAGCUCUAGAGUGUACUACACCCUGCCCCAUGGCGCAUUAGGGGCAAAGGCACCGCUUUCUGAGGCCGUGACCAGCUCUUUGCUUGCAGUGGUGAAAUCUGAUAGACGAUGAGUUCGUAGAAGGCGCAAGAUUGCUUUGGCUACAGCAGAGAGGUUAACGAAGCGUAGCCCCUGGUACCGGACGGGUAGGUUAAGUUCAGCCUCCUGCACAACACAUACAGUCUUCUUCUGUUGCGCGGCAAUAAUUUCUUUUUACCGCACAAGGAAGAGUAUAACGUUAUGUUUGGGCCCUUGCCACCUUAAUUAUUACACUAAGGCUACGUCACUUUUUCAUAGAUUAUCAUAUAGAUUUU